GACGAACGCUGGCGGCGUGCUUAAUACAUGCAAGUCGAACGGAAAGGCCCCUUUGGGGGUACUCGAGUGGCGAACGGGUGAGUAACACGUGAGUAACCUGCCCUUGACUUCGGGAUAACUUCAGGAAACUGGGGCUAAUACCGGAUAGGAAUCCUUGCUGCAUGGUGGGGGUUGGAAAGCUUCGGCGGUUUUGGAUGGACUCGCGGCUUAUCAGCUUGUUGGUGGGGUAGUGGCUUACCAAGGCUUUGACGGGUAGCCGGCCUGAGAGGGCGACCGGCCACAUUGGGACUGAGAUACGGCCCAGACUCCUACGGGAGGUAGCAGUGGGGAAUAUUGCACAAUGGGCGGAAGCCUGAUGCAGCAACGCCGCGUGCGGGAUGACGGCCUUCGGGUUGUAAACCGCUUUCAGCAGGGGCGAAGCUUGUGGUGACGGUACCUGCAGAAGAAGCACCGGCUAACUACGUG
rnacentral:rRNA from 1 species